rnacentral:rRNA from 1 species
UAUGGGGGGACCAUCCUCCAAGGCUAAAUACUCCUGACUGACCGAUAGUGAACCAGUACCGUGAGGGAAAGGCGAAAAGAACCCCGGCGAGGGGAGUGAAAAAGAACCUGAAACCGUGUACGUACAAGCAGUGGGAGCACCCUUCGGGGUGUGACUGCGUACCUUUUGUAUAAUGGGUCAGCGACUUAUAUUCUGUAGCAAGGUUAACCGAAUAGGGGAGCCGGAGGGAAACCGAGUCUUAACCGGGCGUUAAGUUGCAGGGUAUAGACCCGAAACCCGGUGAUCUAGCCAUGGGCAGGUUGAAGGUUGGGUAACACUAACUGGAGGACCGAACCGACUAAUGUUGAAAAAUUAGCGGAUGACCUGUGGCUGGGGGUGAAAGGCCAAUCAAACCGGGAGAUAGCUGGUUCUCCCCGAAAGCUAUUUAGGUAGCGCCUCGUGAAUUCAUCUCCGGGGGUAGAGCACUGUUUCGGCUAGGGGGCCAUCCCGGCUUACCAACCCGAUGCAAACUGCGAAUACCGGAGAAUGUUAUCACGGGAGACACACGGCGGGUGCUAACGUCCGUCGUGAAGAGGGAAACAACCCAGACCGCCAGCUAAGGUCCCAAAGUCAUGGUUAAGUGGGAAACGAUGUGGGAAGGCCCAGACAGCCAGGAUGUUGGCUUAGAAGCAGCCAUCAUUUAAAGAAAGCGUAAUAGCUCACUGGUCGAGUCGGCCUGCGCG